CAAUAGCGUAUAUUAAAGUUGUUGCAGUUAGAACGCUCGUAGUCGGAUUUCGGGGCGGGCCGACCGGUCUGCCGAUGGGUACGCACUGGUCGGCGCGUCCUUCCUUCCGGAGACCGUGCCUACUCUUAACUGAGCGGGGGCGGGAGACGGAUCGUUUACUUUGAAAAAAUCAGAGUGUUUCAAGCAGGCAGCUCGCUCUUGCAUGGAUUAGCAUGGGAUAAUGAAAUAGGACUUUGGUGCUAUUUUGUUGGUUUCGAACACCGAAGUAAUGAUUAACAGGGACAGUCAGGGGCACUCGUAUUCCGCCGAGAGAGGUGAAAUUCUUAGACCAGCGGAAGACGAACUACUGCGAAAGCAUUUGCCAGGGAUGUUUNCACUGA
rnacentral:rRNA from 1 species